GACGAGGUGGUGCUGAAGUUUGAGGACGGACGUGUACGAGCGAGGAACGUGCUGUAUGAUACGCUGCCUGUCGUCAUCCACGGGAACGGACCAACCAAGCUCCAGAUCAACUACCUGGGUAACUACAUCCCCAACACGUGGACGUUUGAGAGCGGCUGCACAGUAUGUCACGAGGACCUCCGCCCGCUCACAGCUCUUAAGGAGAGCGAGUACCCGCUGGUGCUGAUUGGCAUCUUCAUCCAGCAGCCCACGCCCUUCGUCUCAGUGUUCUUUGAACGUCUGCUGAAGCUCCAGUAUCCCAAGAACAGGCUCAAACUCUUCAUUUACAACCAGG